AGAGUUUGAUCCUGGCUCAGAACGAACGCUGGCGGCAGGCUUAACACAUGCAAGUCGAACGCGUGUAGCAAUACACGAGUGGCGCACGGGUGAGUAACACGUGGAUAUCUGCCUUUUGGUUCGGAAUAACCCUGGGAAACUAGGGCUAAUACCGAAUGGUUCCUACGGGAUAAAGAUUUAUCGCCAAAAGAUGAGUCCGCGUCCGAUUAGCUAGUUGGUGAGGUAAUGGCUCACCAAGGCGACGAUCGGUAGCUGGUCUGAGAGGACGAUCAGCCACACUGGGACUGAGACACGGCCCAGACUCCUACGGGAGGCAGCAGUGGGGAAUAUUGGACAAUGGGGGCAACCCUGAUCCAGCCAUGCCGCGUGAGUGAUGAAGGCCUUCGGGUUGUAAAGCUCUUUUGGCGGGGACGAUGAUGACGGUACCCGCAGAAUAAGCCCCGGCUAACUUCGUGCCAGCAGCCGCGGUAAGACGAAGGGGGCUAGCGUUGUUCGGAAUUACUGGGCGUAAAGCGCGUGUAGGCGGUUGCCAUAGUCAGGUGUGAAAGCCUUGAGCUCAACUCAAGAAAUGCACUUGAUACUGGGCGACUAGAGGACCGGAGAGGAUAGUGGAAUUCCCAGUGUAGUGGUGAAAUACGUAGAGAUUGGGAAGAACACCAGUGGCGAAGGCGGCUAUCUGGACGGUUUCUGACGCUAAGACGCGAAAGCGUGGGGAGCAAACAGGAUUAGAUACCCUAGUAGUCC
rnacentral:rRNA from 1 species